rnacentral:rRNA from 1 species
GAUGAACGCUAGCGGCAGGCUUAACACAUGCAAGUCGAGGGGUAUAGGUCUUCGGACCUAGAGACCGGCGCACGGGUGCGUAACGCGUAUGCAAUCUACCUUUCACAGAGGGAUAGCCCCGAGAAAUUUGGAUUAAUACCUCAUAGUAUAGCAGUUUCGCAUGAAACCACUAUGAAAGUUCCAACGGUGAAAGAUGAGCAUGCGUCCCAUUAGCUAGAUGGUAAGGUAACGGCUUACCAUGGCUACGAUGGGUAGGGGUCCUGAGAGGGAGAUCCCCCACACUGGUACUGAGACACGGACCAGACUCCUACGGGAGGCAGCAGUGAGGAAUAUUGGUCAAUGGACGCAAGUCUGAACCAGCCAUGCCGCGUGCAGGAUGACGGUCCUAUGGAUUGUAAACUGCUUUUGUACGAGAAGAAACAACAUUACGUGUAAUGUCUUGACGGUAUCGUAAGAAUAAGGAUCGGCUAACUCCGUGCCAGCCGCCGCAGUAACAC